CAUUAUAAAAUCAUUAGGAUUCAAAUAUUUAAUGAUUUUAUUAUAAUGCUCCUUUACAUGUGCAGAAUAUUAAUAUGUGCAUCAUUAAAAUUUACCCAGGACUAAAUGUUUAAUUUCUUUAAAAAUUAUUCAGUCAGUGUUGUGAAUUCUCUUCUUUUUGGCGCAAGUCGCGCAUGCGCAGCAUCUCGAGCGCGGCUUCUCAGACACGGGCGCACUGAGCGUAGACAUCGGCGCACAAAUUGCGCAGUCGAGGCGCAGUGGUACUCUCAAUGCAUUACAGGUGAUGCCAUGUUAGAGCGCAGGAAAAAGUUAGUGAAGCUAAACUACCUCGCACACAUGACCCUGUGUGUAAUGUUAUUCUUGCGCAAUAAAUGGUUAAACUCCCUGA